ensembl:snRNA U2 U2 spliceosomal RNA
AUCGCUUCUCGGCCUUUGGCUAAGAUCAAGUGUAGUAUCUGUUCUUAUCAGUUUAAUAUCUGAUACGUCCCCUACCUGGGGACCAUAUAUUAAGUUGCUUUUUGGAUCAGGGAGCUGGAAGUAGGGGCUUGCUCCAUCCACUCCAUGCAUCAGACCUGGUAUUGUAGUGCUUCCAGGAGCGGUGCAACACUU